CAGCAGCCACGGUAAUACGGAGGGGGCUAGCGUUGUUCGGAAUUACUGGGCGUAAAGCGCACGUAGGCGGCUUGGUAAGUUAGAGGUGAAAGCCCGGAGCUCAACUCCGGAAUUGCCUUUAAGACUGCCGAGCUAGUAGGUGAGAGAGGUAAGUGGAAUUCCGAGUGUAGAGGUGAAAUUCGUAGAUAUUCGGAAGAACACCAGUGGCGAAGGCGGCUUACUGGCUCAUUCUAGACGCUGAGGUGCGAAAACGUGGGGAGCAAACAGGAUUAGAUACCCCGGUAGUCCCUGUCUCUUAUAC
rnacentral:rRNA from 1 species